rnacentral:lncRNA from 1 species
AGCAGCCCCUAACCUUGAUGGUUUCCAAAGCAAGAGCCAACAUAUCGGUUUCACAUAUCUGCUGCAACAUGGGGAGAUCAUGGAGAUGGAUACGCUUGAGCCUUGGGAACUUUAUGGUGGUAGCUCGUCCCCCUCUCUAUGGUUCCCCCUUUGGAAAAAUCUGUCCAAGUUCACCGCAAUAUGUGAUAUGGAUGAUUUCCAAGCUAGGUAGGGUGGCGAAGGACCAG